GGGGGAUAUUGCACAAGGGGCGCAAGCCUGAUGCAGCGACGCCGCGUGAGGGAUGACGGCUUUCGGGUUGUAAACCUCUUUUACUAUUGAACAAGGCGCCAUAUUGGUGGUGUUGAGGGUAGGUGGUGAAUAAGCGCCGGCUAACUACGUGCCAGCAGCCGCGGUAAUACGUAGGGCGCGAGCGUUGUCCGGAAUUAUUGGGCGUAAAGAGCUCGUAGGCGGCUUGUCGCGUCUGCUGUGAAAUCCUGGGGCUUAACCCUGGGCGUGCAGUGGGUACGGGCAGGCGAGAGUGCGGUAGGGGUGAUUGGAAUUCCUGGUGUAGCGGUGGAAUGCGCAGAUAUCAGGAGGAACACCGAUGGCGAAGGCAGGUCACUGGGCCGUUACUGACGCUGAGGAGCGAAAGCAUGGGGAGCGAAC
rnacentral:rRNA from 1 species